GGGGAUUUAGCUCAGUGGCAUAAGCACCUGCCUUGCAAGCAAGGGGUGAUGAGUUCAAUCCCUG
rnacentral:tRNA from 1 species